UUGAAAGGGAAACGAUUGAAGUCAGUCGUACCGACGGGAAUUCAACUUCUCGAGUGCUAAUCGUGGGUGACGUUGAGCCUCACGGCCUUCGUUGCUUGUGUUGUUGGUGCUUUUGGGGUGUACUUUUCCGUAUUGGUAGGUCAGCAUCGAUUUCGAUCGUCAUAAAAUGAUCGGGGGAAUGUAGCUUCGGUCUCGUAUCGGAGUGUUAUAGCCCUUGGUAGAUGUGACGAUUGGGAUCGAGGAUUGCAACGAAUACCCUUUGGGCUAUCCGUCUGACCUCUGAAAGUCGCUCGGGUGUCGAAAGCGU
rnacentral:rRNA from 1 species